ACACAUUCCCAACUCAUAUUCCCAACUCACAUUCCCUAGUCACAUUCCCGACUCACAUUCCCUACUCACAUUCCCAACUCACAUUCUCACAUUCCCAACUCACAUUCCCAACUCACAUUCCCUACUCACAUUCUCACAUUCCCAACUCACAUUCCUUCCAAACAUUCCCAACUCACAUUCCCUACUCACAUUCCCUCCUCACAUUCCCUACUCACAUUCCCAACUCACAUUCCCAACUCACAUUUUCUACUCACAUUCCCUACUCACAUUCCCAACUCACAUUCCCUACUCACAUUCCCUACUCACAUUCCCUACUCACAUUCUCACAUUCCCAACUCACAUUCCCUACUCACAUUCCCUACUCACAUUCUCACAUUCCCUACUCACAUUCCCUACUCACAUUCCCUACUCACAUUUUCUACUCACAUUCUCACAUUCCCUACUCACAUUCCCUACUCACAUUCCCUACUCACAUUCUCACAUUCCCUACUCACAUUCCCACAUUCCCAACUCACAUUCCCACAUUCCCUACUCACAUUCCCUACUCACAUUCCCUACUCACAUUCCCUACUCACAUUCCCACAUUCCCUACUCACAUUCUCACAUUCCCUACUCACAUUCCCUCCUCACAUUCCCACAUUCCCUACUCACAUUCCCUAAUCACAUUCCCUACUCACAUUCUCACAUUCCCUACUCACAUUCCCAACUCACAUUCCCUACUCACAUUCCCAACUCACAUUCCCUACUCACAUUCCCUACUCACAUUCCCAACUCACAUUCCCUAAUCACAUUCCCUACUCACAUUCCCAACUCACAUUCCCUAAUCACAUUCCCUACUCACAUUCCCUACUCACAUUCCCAACUCACAUUCCCUACUCACAUUCUCACAUUCCCUACUCACAUUCCCUAAUCACAUUCCCUACUCACAUUCCCAACUCACAUUCCCUAAUCACAUUCCCAAUCACAUUCCCUACUCACAUUCUCACAUUCCCUCCUCACAUUCCCUACUCACAUUCCCUACUCACAUUCUCACAUUCCCUACUCACAUUCCCUACUCACAUUCUCACAUUCCCUUCUCACAUUCCCUACUCACAUUCCCUACUCACAUUCUCACAUUCCCAACUCACAUUCCCUACUCACAUUCCCUACUCACAUUCCCUCCACACAUUCCCUACUCACAUUCCCUACUCACAUUCCCUACUCCGAUGAGCAUGACAGUGACAGGAGUCUGCCACUGUCAUGCUCCUCUGUCCGUUAAGAGUACUGUGAAGUGGGUGGUGGUCAUUGUCCA
rnacentral:lncRNA from 1 species